GACAGAGGAGCCAAGCGUUGUCCGGAUUGACUGGGCGUAAAGCGCACGCAGGCGGGUUGUUAAGUCAGGGGUGAAAUCCUGGAGCUCAACUCCAGAACUGCCUUUGAUACUGGCAACCUAGAGGCUGGAAGAGGUUAGUGGAAUUCCCAGUGUAGAGGUGAAAUUCGUAGAUAUUGGGAAGAACACCAGUGGCGAAGGCGGCUAACUGGUCCAGAUCUGACGCUGAGGUGCGAAAGCGUGGGGAGCAAACAGG
rnacentral:rRNA from 1 species